UAGUAUGUGAUGAUUCACUCGGAUUCCCCUUCAGGACAUUAUGGAUGAUGCAUAAACCGAGUCUCUGAUGCU